UACGUAGGUGGCAAGCGUUGUCCGGAUUUACUGGGCGUAAGAGCGCGCAGGCGGUCGUUCAAGUCGCGUGUGAAAGCCCCCGGCUCAACUGGGGAGGGUCACGCGAUACUGAUCGACUCGAAGGCAGGAGAGGGAAGUGGAAUUCCCGGUGUAGUGGUGAAAUGCGUAGAUAUCGGGAGGAACACCAGUGGCGAAGGCGACUUCCUGGCCUGUUCUUGACGCUGAGGCGCGAAAGCUAGGGGAGCAAACGGG
rnacentral:rRNA from 1 species